UUAAUAUCUUAUGUUUUGUCUUACUGUAUGCAUUUGACAUUUCACCUAGAUUGUUCAAUGGUUGUCUCUGCCUGAUAGACUCUCAACUCUAGCUCCCAAACCCAAGGUCAGGGAGUUGUGUCUCUGUCUGUUGAGACUUGGUGCUCCUUUCUCACAGAUAGUUGGACGUCAGCGAUGCAGGUGUGAGAAUGUAAAUAUCUUCACACACACUGCGACAGGAAGGAGAUGGUGCAUGUAAUUUGAUUGGGUUAGAAAGACAUUCCACCCUAGUCGGACAGAGAAGCUAAAAGGCAGAAGCAACUUUAGGAUCGUGGGCUUUGCAUCACACCUUCGUGGUGUGUGCACUGAUCUCCCCAGCUGGUUUUUGGUUUGUUGAUGUGCACGAUCAACAUCCAUGCUUUUUAUUUGCUUUCCCCAUUAUUUUUAUUUUCUUUAUUAUUUCAAUAAAUCGCACAAAAGGACAACUCUCUCUCAUCUACUUCUUUAUGGAAAAUUUCCACCACAGAAAUUGGCGUUGUCGGCAGGAUCCCGCUGCAGGUCGUCUGGACGGUGUGGCCAGGGACGAUAGUCCUGAGGACUAGGGUCGCUCAGCCUCCAAACCUCUACAGACAUUCAGAGCUGGGAGGACUGCUCACCCGUCUGGAUCGCCUCUGACGAGAUCCACGAACUCAGAUUCAAACUCAAAUCCUAAUUUGGCUCGGCUCGGUGAGAGAGAUUCCUUUGAUUUGGGAAAAACAAAAAGAUUGGAACUUUUAUUUUUAAUUUAGCUGAAACAUUUCAAUUGGUUGAAAAAAAAGGGAAAGAAAUCUUCUAUUUGGUUGAAACACUAAAUUUGAUUAGGAAAAUUAAUUAGAUCGAGAAAAAGAGAAAAAAAAAUCCCAAUAAUACAUGUUCUUAAUUAGGUGAAAGUCUGCUCUGGGUGGUGAGACGUCGGUUGCUAAGGGUUGGCUCGUGGAACCGAGCUUCCGUCUGUACUGAGGAUACAGACAUGUUUUUUUGAUCUGUGCGUGGUCCACACGUGGGGGACUGAGUAUAAAAGACGGCUUCUGAAAGAGGGAGCGCGUGUGCAGAGUGAAGUAUUUUCAAGAUACGAGGGACCCGGGCCUAGAGGGGCCUAACGUUGAGGAAAUACUUCGUGAAAGGCUCUGUCGCCAGAUCAGGUUGGUUCCCUUUUUACGGAGACGUCCGAUAAAAAGGCAUUUUGGGAAGGUUCCGGCCGGAACACACAAAAAAUCUAAGGCAGGAAACCGCCGGACUCUGAAAGACGGGUUCGGGGCAAUUUGAGUCUUCACCACCAGACAGCAACCGUACAAAACUAAAGAACUGAGCGCGAUGAGGGUAAAUCCGGAUCUGGACUCCUUUCCCACCAUCAGCAGAAGAACCGAAGGAGAAGAAGCGCCUGAUCAACAACCAGAACAGGGUGGAGGCUCUGACGCCACAGCAGCUGGAGGACACAGACCACAGCAUGGACGCCUCAGCGACUCUCACAACGUCUGCAGCCAUCACGUUCUGGGCUCAUCAGGUGAACCAGCUACUACAAGCGUGUGUGUCUGACACAGACACCUGCUUAUGACAAUCAGCAAAGGAAAACAAGGACAGAGCAACAGCAGAGAAGACGUGCUCUGACACAGACACUGGUUGAAACAACAGGAGAGGCUUCAGACGUGAUCGGCCCAAUAGAGCUGCAUGUGAGGAUCCAGGAAACGUCUGUCAUCGAGGAACAACUGUCCCAUUGAAAAGCUUCACCCACUGGCGCUCACAUGAGACUGAUGGUUGGGGAAGGAGGAAGGUGACGGUUCCUUUUCUCGUGACGUACAAGACGGUACCGCAAACACACACACACACACACACAUUCAUACACGCAAUGAAGAAACACGCUUACAGCUGAUACACGCUCAAAUUCAUGUUCAUGCUUAUCUGCUCGCAAUGAAGAAUCGCUUUCUGCUCAAAAAAAAAAUCCCACAGAGUGAUUUUAAAAUGAUGACAAACAGCUAAACGACAACUGCUGCAUGACUUUACAGUCUGAUGGGUUCAAACUAUUUUAACUUGCAACAAAUUCAGUAAUAAAAUCCUCUAUGUUUCUAAAAGGGUUUGUGCACAAUAUAGGUUUGUCUGGCCAGACUAGAAGACUAUAGGAAACAAAACAGACUGUAGAAAAACAAAACAGACUGUAGAAAAAACAAAAAAACAGACUAUAGGAAAACAAAACAGACUGUAGAAAAAACAAAACCAGACCAUAGGAAGACUGAAACCGACUGAAACAGACUAUUAAUGACUAUUAAAGGGAAGACGACUAUUAGAGAGAAGUAAUAAUAAUUACUGUACGUACCAGACUAUUAAAGAAAAACUUAUUCUUUCACUGUCUUGUGCAACAUCUGACAGCAAGACACCUUAACAUUCAUUUUUGCUUUCAAACUUGUGCCCAGUUAAAUUUUUAGGAAGAGAUUUCAUGUGUAAAUUAGGUAUUUGAUUGAUUUCCACUCCAGACGGAGUGCAGGUUACAUCUACAGACAUUCUAAAUAAUCCCUCUUUUGUUGGUGUUAACUUCAGCUCAGCUGUGCUCUUAUCAUUGGCUGCUGAGGGGGGGCUGUAACUGAGGCCCUCACACAGGCUGCAUCACAGCUUGUUUAUGAUUUCACACACACACACACACACACACAC